rnacentral:rRNA from 1 species
CGCACGGGUGAGUAACACGUAUCCAACCUGCCGUCUACUCUUGGACAGCCUUCUGAAAGGAAGAUUAAUACAAGAUGGCAUCAUGAGUCCGCAUGUUCACAUGAUUAAAGGUAUUCCGGUAGACGAUGGGGAUGCGUUCCAUUAGAUAGUAGGCGGGGUAACGGCCCACCUAGUCUUCGAUGGAUAGGGGUUCUGAGAGGAAGGCCCCCCACAUUGGAACUGAGACACGGUCCAAACUCCUACGGGAGGCAGCAUG